UACGAAGGGGGCGAGCGUUGUUCGGAUUUACUGGGCGUAAAGGGCGCGCAGGCGGUCUUGAAAGUCAGAUGUGAAAGCCCCGGGCUCAACCUGGGAAUUGCAUUUGAGACUGCUCUGCUCGGGUGCGGAAGAGGGAAGCGGAAUUUCCGGUGUGGCGGUGAAAUGCGUAGAUAUCGGAAGGAACACCAGUGGCGAAAGCGGCUUCCUGGUCCGACACCGACGUUCAGGCACGAAAGCGUGGGGAGCAAACAGG
rnacentral:rRNA from 1 species